AGCACUUGUGUGUAUGUCUCUGUUCAGUUUUGUAACAAAGCCUUACAAACAGGUGCAAAUAGUAAAUCCUCUUUUGAAACCCAGAACUCACUGUUGACUAUGAGGUUUUGGUACAUGUAAGAGAAAUAUG